UUCCAAGUGCGCUUGCGCACAGGCUGCGCGGGAAAAGGCGCGGCGCGGCAGUGUGAGAGGCGGAGAUGGCUGUGAGGCGGUCGCUGGCGGCUUGCUCCGCGGAGUUCGGGAAGGACGAAGACGCCGUGCUGUUCCUAGAAAGAGCCCAUUACCGACAUGACCCGCGCUGGCUGCUGCCGGUGUCCCCACGCGUCUGCGUGGCCUGCAUGCUGGAGCUGCUGCCGGAGCCCGGCGUGUCGGUGGUGCGCAAGAAGCACGUGGUGUCCUGCUUCCGAGAUGCCCUUGUGAGGCAUGCCUCCUUGGUCACACAGCUGUUGGUUCAGGACCAGAGAGUCUGCAUCCAUUUCAUAAGCAUGCUUUUUGGACUGUUAUGCAGCGUGGAAGAUGGGAGUGUAACAGACCUCUGUAUUGAAGUCCUUGUCCAGCUUACCAUGCAGCUGAAGCUGGAACAGAUCAUCCACUGCCUGCUGGACGAGUGCCAGAAACAGCUGUGUAACAUGCCCUCCAUGCAAGGCAGCCUGGCCAUCCUGACCCUUCUUGGCAAGUUGGUGGAUGCCAUCCCUGUCCUGGCUGACGAACUUGUAAAGGAGCAUGGUAACUUGAUAGAACAUCUGAUGAGGGGCUUGGUGUACUCCAAUGAAGGGGUGCAAGCUUCUGUCUGUUACCUCUAUGGGAAGCUCUAUUCCUCACCAGUGGCAGCUGAGUUGCUUUCGGGCCAUUUCCGGGAGAAGCUAUGCCCUCUCCUCCUUUCCACCCUGGACAGUGCCCAGACAAAGGAGCUACAGAUCAACUGCUUAGGUUUGCUGAGGCACCUGCUGAAGUAUGAUCUCUUUGUGUCCAUGAUCAUGAACAAGUUCAUGCUGGCAGGAAAUGCUGAGAGUGUCAAGGGAUCAUCAGGAGAGCUCUCACUGCCUUUGGUGCUCAAAAAGGUAAUUGUCUUACAGUUUUUUUUUUUUUUUUUUUUUUUCAGUACAGGGGAUUCAACUCAGGGCCUUUGCACUGAGCUACAUCUCCUGUCUUGUGAUUCUUGGUCUCUAGGUUCAAUAACAAGAGAACUCAGGUGCUUCUUGGACCUUGUUCUCAUCUACCAUUCUUUUUAUCAGGUUUCCAAAAGUAUCUUCUUACUGACCAAAAUAAUAUGCUAUCAAGCCAGCCAUGGUGGUAUACGCUUGUAAUCUUAGCACUGGGAAGCUCAGGCAGGAGGAUCAUUGUGAGUUUGAAGCCAGCCUGGGUUACAUAGUGAGUUCAAGGCCAGCCUGAUUUACAUAGUGAGAUCCUAUCAACAAAACAAAGCAAAACAAAACCAGCCCUGAAAUUGGGAGGUAUUUUACUGUCAAUGGUAUAUCAUAAUUUAAUUGGUACAUAAUAUAAUACUUUGCUUUACAUCAGUAGUAUCUUAGUGUAAAAUACAAAAUGUUAUUUCCUUUAGAAAAGAGAACAAGAUAAAAAUAUC
rnacentral:lncRNA from 1 species